rnacentral:rRNA from 1 species
AAACUUUCAACAACGGAUCUCUUGGUUCUGGCAUCGAUGAAGAACGCAGCGAAAUGCGAUAAGUAAUGUGAAUUGCAGAAUUCAGUGAAUCAUCGAAUCUUUGAAUGUACAUUGCGCCCCUUGGUAUUCCGAGGGGCAUGCCUGUUCGAGCGUCAUUU